UGGCCCCUUCUUGGUCUCAAAAUGGCCCACUUACUUUAAACCCAGAAUCCUGGCAGACUGCAAGAAUUCUAAUGAGUAUGUUGAAGACCUCUUGUCUGGGCAUCAAUCCUCAGAUGAGUCUGGCUGGGACAGUGACCUGUCAAGCAUCCUACUGCUGGUUCACAUACUUCCCCGUACUGCAAAAGGACCCAAGAAGAGUCCUAAAAUUGGCUCACAUCAAGCAGUCAAACAUGUUGUGAGAUAUUUGAGGAUUGGCGCCAGUGUUGAGACCUUCCUUGAGAGUUUGGAACCAGGACAGCCCAUCGUCCUGUGUGUUGGUGCGGGUGAACAGGAGAACAACC